rnacentral:rRNA from 1 species
UACGUAGGGUGCAAGCGUUAAUCGGAAUUACUGGGCGUAAAGCGUGCGCAGGCGGUUUUGUAAGUCUGUCGUGAAAGCCCCGGGCUCAACCUGGGAACUGCAUUUGUGACUGCCCGGCUAGAGUGUGUAAGAGGGGGGUAGAAUUCCAUGUGUAGCAGUGAAAUGCGUAGAUAUGUGGAGGAAUACCGAUGGCGAAGGCAGCCCCCUGGGAUAACACUGACGCUCAUGCACGAAAGCGUGGGGAGCAAACAGG